UAAGGGAGUGAAGACGAUCAGAUACCGUCGUAAUCUUAACCAUAAACUAUGCCGACUAGGCUUUGGAUGAAAGAUUUUAAAAUAAGAGUUUUUCUUUUCUCUCCGGAGAUUAGAACUCUUAGAUUGCUUCCUUCAGUGCCUUAUGAGAAAUCA
rnacentral:rRNA from 1 species